AUGCUUUUGGAAAAAACAAAAUAAAAACGGGUUCAAAAUGCAUAUUUGGAAGCUGUAAAGAUGCCCAUUUGUACGAACAGCAGAGGAAAAAUGAUGCCACAAGAAGAUUCUUGGACGCCAGUAUCCCCGAAACAGUUCCUCGGUGCAUUUGCGCCUUUUCCGCGUUUCGCCUGGAUUCAUCCAAACGCACCCAGGGACAGCUUUGAUGAGGUUUGCAAAAACGUCUGGAGUAGAGGUCAAAGUUCACUGCAGAGAGAAGCGAGUAAAGACAGCACUCGUUCAGUCAACAAGCGAAGUCACAGGGCUGAAAGGCAGCAGGAAGGGACAGAUGAUUACAUGCACUAUAAGGAAGACGAGAAGCAGCACCACACUGACUUCACCCCUCCUUGCCAUUAUCUCUCAGGCCGCAGAUAUCCACGUGUUGCCAAGCCCGCAUGGGGGCUGAGCCCUGUGAAGGAAGCAGAGAUGAGACAAUUUAAGGAAGAGGCAAGUGGGAAAAGAAACUUGUCAUGUCAGGAGAAUGAUGUCCAAGAUAAACCAAGGAGUGUAGAAAACUCCCUUCAGAAGAUGUGGGUCUCUCAACCCAGCAGUAAAGGCAAAGAGAGCUCUGUACUUGUGCCUCAACAUCUGGUGACGAAUCCUGUCUGCUUUGAAGGCCACACCCCACACCUGCCAGAUGGACAACAUUCUCUCCAUCCUUCUAAUCUACCCAGGGAUACAUGUGAAAGUGAGAAUGAGCAGAAUGCAAGAUGUGACCCAGACAGCUACUCUAGUGAUGAUAGCAAUCUUGUUAGUCUACCUGGGGUGCAAAGUUGUGCCACUGACAGCAGCAAAAAUGACUUAGUGUUUAGUGCAAAAGAGGUGAAGAAAAAGGAAAUUCCACACUCGUCUGUUCAAUUGAGCUCUGACAAUGAGCAGGAUUUCUUUUCUAAUAUUGAUAAAGACUUUCCUGCACUUACCACCGUCAGUGCUGGCAUUUCACUAUGUCCCACAGAACCAUCAGCCUUGGGGAAGAUGAAGGGCCAGUGGGAGAUUCCCCUUUCAUUCUACCCGCAUGACACACCCACUGUCACUUUGGCAAGUGCAGUGAGUGGCCCUGUGCGGGCUCCAAACCAAGGCAAAACAGAAGCACCUGAGGCGCAUUCAAAAACCAAAGCUCUACCAGCAGUCCCAGUGCAGACAAAAGCUUAUGACCUACUGGCUGAUUUCCCAGCCCUCCAGCCCCCAAAGAAGCCCUUAGCGCUGGGUGCAUUGCAUCACGGGAAUCCCAAGACCAAAGAUGCAGAAGGGAAAAGAAUUCUCACUCAUAUGCCAAUUCACUGCCAAAGCAGUCAGGGUUCCCAUGAGAGGAGAUUGGAAAAUUUACCCCACAAGGUCUCCUCCAUCUGUGCAGGAGAUCUGAAAUCUGUGCUGGACCUUCAAACAUUUGGCGCGGUCAGCCAUCACAACUCUCCCACCAUCAGCUGUGAGCAACCUAAGGCCAACAAGCAGCAGCCGCCUAGAGUUGCAGGUGCAGAUGGCGUGGGUGUCAGUGCCAGGUCCUGGGCUAACGUUGCCAAGGCAGGCAUGAAGCAAGCAGCUGCCCCUCAGGAGAAAGCCAGACCUUGUACGUUUCAGCAGAGCUGAACUUGGUGGCACUCAAAAAAAUCACCAAGAAUCCAACACUUUCCCAUCUGGGACUAAAUCAGAAGGUGACAACUUUGUAUCAAGGCCCUCAGCCCUGCAAUCAAAACCACUUAUUUAGACCUGGCAACCCCCCUGCCCAUCAGAGGGUCUGACUCAUGCACCAGUUCUCCUUCUGAUGCUGGCCAUCACCUAAAUAUUCC